UAAGAGAAUCUACUCAAGGGGUCUGAGGCAGGACACAGAGCCAAGUCCUUGCUCCAGUGAAUUCGGGCGAGAACGACCACACAGACACAAACAGCCAUCUCCUCUCAGAUCGUGGGUAGUUAUUGCUAAGUCCAAAUACAAACGGGAAAACGAAAAUUCAAAAGACUGCUCAGUGACUCGCUCAGUUCGCCCGGUGAAAUAAAAGUGACAGAGUGAUCGACCCAAUCUCCUAGUGCCGGGUGAACCGAAAGCGCGGUGGAGCCCCCCGAGACAUAAACCCACUGGACGCCUCAACACCACAGGACUCGGGGCAAGCCGGGCUGGAAAGCGGGGCCGGGAAGGAGGGCGCGGGGCGGCCCGGCACUGGCCGGAGCCGAGGGCCGCUACCUCGGUGCGGCGGUACAGCGUGGCCUCCCCGAAGGCGCCGCGGCCCAGGACGCGGAUGGGGAUGUAGUGCAGCUCCUCCUGCUCCGCCGCGCCGCCGGCUCGCGGCCCCGGGCCGGCGCUGGGCCCCGGGCCCGAGUCCCCGCCACCCCCGGACUCGCUUCCGAAGUCCGAGUUGAGGGAAUCGCAAUGUCGCUCGUACUCGCCCAGCACCGACAUGGCGGAGGCCUGCGUAUCCACGGCGGGCAGCGCCGGCCGUGCACCGUCUCCCUAGCCUCAGAAGCCCGCCAGCGGCUCAGGCGGCCCCGCGGCCCCGGGAGCUUCCAUGGUGGCUCCUGCUGCCCCUGACCCGGAAGCAGUUCUCGCUGUUUCCGGCUCGCCGAGGUUUUCCUCCGCCUUCGCGUGCCCGCUUGUUGCCGGCGAGUCCCGCACACCUCGGGCGACACUGGGCUUGGCAUCUGUGGGAGGCGUGGGAGCCGAAGGGCUACCACGCGUGUCCUCUGGGCCUGCAGACCGCUUCCCUGCAUCUCCUACCAGCUCUCCGGACUGCGUCAGACUUCCACGGUGGUCCACUGACACCUUGGUGUCGUUUGUCCCUAGAGCUGUGGCUGGGUUUGCAGUCACUUGACUUGUUGGACAGGACUCUUGUUUGAAGACAUACUACAGUAAAGAUACUGUAGCAAGCUGAAACACUCUACUUCUGGCAUCUCAAUCAGCAGAUCUUUGACAGUCUGAUCUUAUGAAGCAUUCCUGAAGCACCAGGGCCAGACAUUCACCGUAUUUGGGAACAGAAACUGGAUGCUCCCUACCCAAAAGUCACCAACGGAACUGCAAUACAGUCAAUGUAGUUUCAUUAUUGUUUCCUUAAGUAACUUCAUAACUACUAUGAACUUUAACACUUUUUCCCCCCUAUAAAGUUGCAGGACUAUUACCUACACCACAGGGUUGCCUGAGAGGGCACUAUGCUAAAGGUUUUUUAUUUGUAUUAUGGCCCUCAAUCUCACAGUAUGGUGGAACAAGGUGUAUGUGUUUGCAGGGGUGGGGGGUAACUUGUUUAUCAUGAUACAGCUAGUUAAGAGGCGCUUGAGCGUCAAACCCAGCAAUCUGGCCCCAGAACUGGGAAAGGGCAGGAUGUGACUAAGAGGUUAUGGAGCUGGAGCCACUGUGCAUGUUGGGUAGAAGCAGAAAGUACAGCUUUAUGUGUUGUGUAGUUUGGUGUUUCCUGUGGAUGAUGGGGAAUUGUUGGAGACUUUUAAGCAAAGGACUGUAUGAUUAGGACUCUAUGUCCCAAAUGCUGUUUUAUUUUUUUAAUACCAUUGUGUGUGUACACACAUGAUGGG